UACCGCGUAUAGUUAUUGGCCGACCUCAAAUAGUCGGGAUGAAGGCGAAGGGGAAGUAUGUUAGUUAUCUAUUUACUGUUUAGUUAGCUAUUCAUAGUGUUAUGUUACCGUAUAUAGUUUUCUAUAUAUUAUAAUAUUGUAUUCAAGUUAAAAUAAAAACUACAACGAUUCAGUGGUUAAAAAUAAAAAUGUCGACUUUGAACAAAUUAUCGGUGCUAUA